rnacentral:rRNA from 1 species
UGGGGAAUCUUGCACAAUGGGGGCAACCCUGAUGCAGCGACGCCGCGUGAGCGAUGAAGCCCUUCGGGGCGUAAAGCUCUUUCGACCGGAACGAUAAUGACGGUACCGGGAGAAGAAGCUGCGGCUAACUACGUGCCAGCAGCCGCGGUAAUACGUAGGCAGCAAGCGUUGUUCGGAGUUACUGGGCGUAAAGAGUGCGUAGGCGGUUUUCUAAGUUCGGUGUGAAAUCUCCCGGCUUAACUGGGAGGGUGCGCCGAAGACUGGGAAGCUGGAGUGUGGGAAAGGCAGGCGGAAUUCCUGGUGUAGCGGUGAAAUGCGUAGAUAUCAGGAAGAACACCGGCGGUGUAGACGGCUUGCUAGACCAUAACUGACGCUGAGGCACGAAAGCGUGGGUAGCAAACA